UACGUAGGGUGCGAGCGUUGUCCGGAAUUAUUGGGCGUAAAGAGCUUGUAGGCGGUCUUUCAAGCCAGAAGUGAAAGGCUACGGCUCAACCGUAGUAAGCUUUUGGAACUGUAAGACUUGAGUGCAGGAGAGGAGAGUGGAAUUCCUAGUGUAGCGGUGAAAUGCGUAGAUAUUAGGAGGAACACCAGUAGCGAAGGCGGCUCUCUGGACUGUAACUGACGCUGAGGCACGAAAGCGUGGGGAGCAAACAGG
rnacentral:rRNA from 1 species